rnacentral:rRNA from 1 species
AUGGGAACGCGAAGAACCUUACCUAGACUUGACAUCUCCUGAAUAGUGUAGAGAUACAUGAAGCCCUUCGGGGACAGAAUGACAGGUGGUGCAUGGUUGUCGUCAGCUCGUGUCGUGAGAUGUUGGGUUAAGUCCCGCAACGAGCGCAACCCCUAUUAUUAGUUGCUAACAUUAAGUUGAGCACUCUAGUGAGACUGCCCGGGUUAACCGGGAGGAAGGCGGGGAUGACGUCAAAUCAUCAUGCCCCUUAUGUCUAGGGCAACACACGUGCUACAAUGGUGAGUACAGAUAGAUGCGAUACCGCAAGGUGGAGCCAAACUCUAAAACUCAUCCCAGUUCGGAUUGUAGGCUGCAACUCGCCUACAUGAAGUUGGAGUUGCUAGUAAUCGCGAAUCAGAAUGUCGCGGUGAAUACGUUCCCGGGUCUUGUACACACCG